AAAAGUACUUUCGACUUUAUUAAUUGGAAGCACUCCAGAUUGAACAUGGAAGCAAUAAAGGCAAAUCCUCCAUCAUUGUUUGUUGGAGGAAGCCUAGGUUUCCGUACAAUCAACAACAAACCAUAACUAGUAAAUUGAAUUCAAGAACUACAUCUUCAACGACAAAAAAAUGAAAGCAAAACAUAAAAUGGUGCGUUCAUGGUCACGAAGAAACAAACAGCCUGAGCGCCUGCUUGAGUUUACAGAGGAAUGAUUCGAAGAUUUGGCGCUUUAUUUUUCCUCGGAUCGGAAUCUUAGAUGAUGGGAAUGCUUUGAUUUUGCUCAUGGUUUGCCGGGCAAAAGAGAGUUGGAUUAAUUGUAGAGAGAUGCGAUACAUAUAUACACACACACACACACAUAUAUAUAUAUAUAUAGAGAGAGAGAGAGAGAGAGAGAGAGAGAGAGAGAGAGAG
rnacentral:lncRNA from 1 species